AUAACCCCUCCCCUGUGACCUCAGUGGAGGGAUAAGAGAGGCCUGGGAUCCCAGUCCUGCUCUGGACCUCAGGAGGACCGUGUUCACCAUGGCCUGGCCCCCUCUCCUCCUCCUUCUCCUCUGCUACUUCUCAGGUUCCCUUUCCCAGCCUGUGCUGACUCAGCCACCUUUCCUCUCUGCUUCUCCUGGAGCAUCAGCCAGACUCACCUGCACCCUGAGCAGCAGUUCUGUUGUUGGUGGCUAUCACAUGACGUGGUACCAGCAGAAGCCAGGGGGCCGUCCCCGGUAUCUCCUGAGAUUCAAGUCUGACUCAGAUAAGCAUCAGGGCUCUGGGGUCCCCAGCCGCUUCUCUGGAUCCAAAGAUGGCUCGGCUAAUGCAGCAAUUCUGCACAUCUCUGGGCUACAGGCUGAGGAUGAGGCUGACUAUUACUGCUGUGCAUAUCAUGGUAACACUAACACUUACACAGUGCUCCAGACCAAGGGGGAAGUGAUACAAAAACCUCCCUUGUGUUCUUCCUGCCUGGUGCAGACACUGCUGCUCUGACUGGGGUUGAAUCGA